UGAACUCAGUUAAAGGGCAGUUCGGUCAUUCUUCAACUUAGAGCUGAUCCUUUUUCUUUUCUACAGCUUCUAACGCCGCCUCAACCUUGCUUCCUCUUCCUUUUCUCUUCUUCCCAGCUUUGCCGCUUUCUGUUAUCCUCGGCUUCGUCGUUCUGUCCAGGUGAUUCCUUAUCUUCUUACUUUCGCCACCAAACGUUACCUUCUUAAUUAGGUGCUUCGGGGAAGUUUGGAGCCACCUAUUACCUUAGAUUUUGCGAGUUUAUUCACUCCUCCUGUUUGAGCCGCUAUUAGGCUCAACAUUCAGCACAUGUAGAGAGCAACAAAAUGUCACUCCUGAGGUCAUUUCUAUCCAAAACUUGACAUCCAACACAUGUACAGAACAACACAGUGUCACUUCUGAGGUUGUUACAAAGAAAGCUAAUGGAUUUGGGCACUUUCAUGCUCGUAUCAUAUAUUGGAUUUAUAUUUGGAUUUGUGAUGUUCACCAUAUUAGUGCAUGAAGUUUUAUACCAAGGUUCUGAAGUGCUACCAACGUCGUCGUGGUCAUGUGAAUGUGGAUACUGAUGAAGACGAGAUGGAAAUCCCUCCAGUUUGAAGAUGGAGUUAGUUAAUUAGUUUAUUUGUUUUUUUUGUAAUGUAUCUUUUGUAAGGGUUGCUAACUCCCUAACAUUCGAGAAAACAUAGUCGUAAAUGACCUUGGUUAGUUUUUGUUGUUUUCUAAAUGAUAGGAUCAACUUUGAACAUAGUCUUGCACGGACUCGGUCAAUUUUUGUUGCAAAGGUCAUUUUUUUGUAAUAUGGGUGCAUCUACUUCAGCAUGUACUGUAAUUUCUGAACAUUUGGCCAUUCGUCGUUGUAUCCAAACUAAUUUUACUGCUUUCUGAA